rnacentral:pre_miRNA from 1 species
UAACUACUCCCUCCGUUCGGAAUUACUCGUCCAAGAAAUGAAUGUAUCUAGAUGUAUUUUAGUUGUAGAUACAUUCAUUUUUGUCACAAGUAAUUCCGAACGGAGGGAGUACUUA